rnacentral:rRNA from 1 species
UACAGAGGUCCCGAGCGUUGUUCGGAUUCACUGGGCGUAAAGGGUGCGCAGGUGGGCUGUCAAGUUCGAUGUGAAAGCCCCGGGCUUAACCCGGGAAUGGCAUUGAAUACUGAUGGCCUGGAGGAUCGGAGGGGGGACUGGAAUUCCUGGUGUAGCGGUGGAAUGCGCAGAUAUCAGGAGGAACACCGAUGGCGAAGGCAGGUCUCUGGGCCACUACUGACGCUGAGAAGCGAAAGCAUGGGGAGCGAACAGG